CCGGAGCCGUGGAACGUAGCGGCACACAUGGCUCCUUCUUCUGGCCCUGGAAAUUUACAGGAAUGUGUAUCUGUGCUGUUGCUGAGCCAGCUCAAAACCUGUUUUGCUGGAGACUUCUUCCCUCAGCAGGCUGAGCACAGCACCUGGAACAUGGCACGUUCCCACUACAAAUGACUGGUGAAAGCCUGACCUGGGGAAGUGGCGAUGAGGACAGGGAGAGGACGAC
rnacentral:lncRNA from 1 species